GCUAGAGCAGUGGGAGAAAAGCAUGGGAUGAUUGUGGAGUGAAUUGGAAACAAAGCAAGGGUGAAGGGAGGCUGAGGUCACUGGGUGUCUAGGUAGGUUGCUUCUGAAGCAGUCCACCAAUAACAUGGAGAGGUCCCCUUCAGGCUCUCCAGUCUCACCAGUCAGAUAGUCACCCUUGUCCUUUAAUUGUUGGUGUGGUGUUGCCUCAUGCCAAAACAACUCCUGAACCUCUUCGUUUUCCCACCAUCAUCACCAGGGCCAUUAUAAAGGGACGGCGCCCGUGGAUCCCCGGCAGCAAAGCCAUGGCGUUCUUCAACGGCGGGUCGCGGGCGCUCGUCGAAAUCCUGACGAGGUUCCAGAGCUCUGAGAGGCCAAUGCCGGUGGACCACACCUUCUUCGAGUUGGGAUCAGUGCGAUACCAUGUACAGGCCUCGGCGUCGGACCCCGAGAACGUGUACCUGUCGAUAUCGACGCCGUCCCUCUCCCACGAGGCGUCGACGUCGACCUGCCUGCCGGAGUUCACGCUGCAGGAGGUGAGGAAGAUGUACCACAAGUUCGCGGAGAUCGUGGAGCCGGCCAGAGAGGGGUACGCACUGACGCUGAAGCUCAACUUCUCCGGCCUCACCAGGCCGAAGGAUCGCGCCAGGGCUGUCCGGCAGGUGUCGCUGCUGCAGUCCAUCGUCCUCGGGUCGCAGCUGAAGCACCUGCUGGGGAGCCUCGGCUCCUCCGGUGCCACCAAGCUCGUGUACAACCACCGCGACCCCUUCUUCGUCAGCAGAACGCCGGGGAAGAUCAACGCCAUUUUCCCCAUGCGUUUCCGGGACGACACGGACGUAGCCGUCGCCACCUCCUUCUUCCAGGAGCUGCAGGACGCAGGGAGCUCGUACGCGAAGGCGCCCAAGUGCAGCUGGUCGGCCAUCCCACCACCGGAGCUGCGGGGGGAGUCCGUGCAGCACCUCACCACCAACGGCGGCUUCGUCUCCUUCGACAUCUUCGAGCGGCACGUGAAGCGGAAGAGGGCCGCCAAAACGGCGUGGAUCCUGCUCAACUUCCAGGCCUACGUCAAGUACCACAUCAAGUGCACCCGAAACUACAUUCAGAGCAGGAUGAGAAAGCGGCAGGAGAGCUUGGCAGAGUUUUGCAGGAAAAAAGGGUACGUGUUUAUGGGUUUAUCGGACAUUAAAACCAAUAAACGGAAAGAAUGAGAAGAAUGGAUGUAAACACGCUGUCAUUUGUACUUGCCUACCUUUGACAACUCUCGCAGACUACUGAAAGAGUUUGGAAUUUCGACGUUCCCGUAGCUAAAACCAAGUUUGUAGUGAUUACCGUUUGUUCAUUGAGCUGCAGGUAAUCCAAAAUGCGAGGCUAAGGGGUGGCCAGGAUAAGAAGAAACUACAAGUGAGGAAGAAGAGCAAGAGAAGGCUGUUCAGCCUUGGCAAGGCCAAGAAACUGCAGAAGGGUUUUAGGUCCGUCAUUGACGGGCUCCGACGGCUCCGGCUGAGGAUCAGAGUGAAGGCUCUGGACCGGUUCAGGCGGUGCUUUGUCAUGCCCAAGCUCGCUACGAAGAAGCAUGAUUACCUCAGACUAGGAGCAUGAA